rnacentral:rRNA from 1 species
AGUGGCGAACGGGUGAGUAAUACAUCGGAACGUGUCCGCUCGUGGGGGACAACCAGCCGAAAGGUUGGCUAAUACCGCAUGAGUUCUACGGAAGAAAGAGGGGGACCCGCAAGGGCCUCUCGCGAGCGGAGCGGCCGAUGACUGAUUAGCCUGUUGGUGGGGUAACGGCUCACCAAAGCAACGAUCAGUAGCUGGUCUGAGAGGACGACCAGCCACACUGGGACUGAGACACGGCCCAGACUCCUACGGGAGGCAGCAGUGGGGAAUUUUGGACAAUGGGCGCAAGCCCGAUCCAGCUAUUCCGCGUGUGGGAUGAAGGCCCUCGGGUUGUAAACCACUUUUGUAGAGAACGAAAAGACACCUUUUAAAAAGGGUGUAGCUGACGGUACUCUAAGAAUAAGCACCGGCUAACUACGUGCCAGCAGCCGCGGUAAUACGUAGGGUGCGAGCGUUAAUCGGAAUUACUGGGCGUAAAGGGUGCGCAGGCGGUUGAGUAAGACAGAUGUGAAAUCCCCGAGCUUAACUCGGGAAUGGCAUAUGUGACUGCUCGACUAGAGUGUGUCAGAGGGAGGUGGAAUUCCACGUGUAGCAGUGAAAUGCGUAGAUAUGUGGAAGAACACCGAUGGCGAAGGCAGCCUCCUGGGACAUAACUGACGCUCAGGCACGAAAGCGUGGGGAGCAAACAGGAUUAGAUACCCUGGUAGUCCACGCCCUAAACGAU